GCGGGGGCGGGGGCCUGGCGAGCGCGGCCACGGUCGUCCCCCGGCUCCGGGUCGCUGCGGACGCGGUCUUCCCCGCGCUUGAAAAAUUCAGCCAGCCUUAGUUUUGUUUCUCCAGGGGAAAUGGCAGGCGGGUUUUGUAGGGAGACGUAGGCAUAUCCGUUCAUAAUAUUCCGAGGUUCGUCUUUUAAGGGCAGAUUUGGGAGACGGUAAGAAACAGGAAGGUAUUGCUAAGGCAAAACUGGGCCGUGCAUUUAAACGCGAAGACUGAGAACAGAUCAACUCAUGUUGGUGAAAUGGCUUUGCUAACUGAAAAAUAUCUUACUAUUAAUUGUUAAUUAUUCAGCAUUAAAACAGGAAGCCCCAAAUGGACAAAUGCAGAUGAUACUGGAAAACAGGGAAAGAGUCUGAAGGGAUUCUGCUAAAUGCCUAGAACCGUGUUUGGAUACCUCAUGUAAUUCAUUGAAAACUGUACUGAAACUGAAAAGCAGACCGAUUUUAAGUGCAUCCUUUGUUUACCCUCUGAUCGAGUGGCUGCCUGGGAGCCACGGUUGCCAUUGCUGCCCAGCGUCACAAGAAUACCCUACGGCCUAUCUCCAGCCUGGGAACACGUCCAGGAAGUUUUCAGAGGAUGUGCUCCAGCAAAACUCAGAGAGUAAACCUAUGGGAAAGAAAGAUAAAGGAAUCAGAUAACAGAGCCCAUCAUAAAAGGGAGGUGAAGGAAAUUCCUAGGAUGAUGGCGAAGCAAAAUUCAAGCAUGUCAACUAUGCCUCAAGCUGGGACAGCUAACCAACCAGUCCAAACUGGAGCAGGUCUGAAGGUGAAACCGAUAGAUGAAUUAUCUAUGUGUUUGAGAAAAUAUUCAAAAUAGAGAGUCUGAUGUUGAAUUAGCGAUAAGUACAGUGAGAGCUAAGCAGAGAAAACUACAUCCUUCUGAACACCAACAAAAAUAAAAUACUCUAUUGGAAUAAGUA